UUGAUGUGUUUAAUCCUUACUCCCACAGAAAUUAUGCCCUUAUGGCUGAGCAUCGUGGAAAAUCUCUUUGGAAAACAUGACUGCUAGAUGCCCGAGGAGGAGUGACCAACUUGCCCCUUUGCCUUAUCUCUCAGUACCCAACGUCAGCAGAAUUCCCCACGUCGCCAUGCCCAAAGCGAGUGGCCGUGAUGGUGGAGUGUACCUCUUCUUGUCUUUACUACUCGGAGUUUGCUUGUUCCCGGUGACGCACACCAUGGAAAUUGACAGUAUUCCCAGAACGACAAUACGGAUAGAAGAUCUGCAUUACAAACGAUUCAGACACAACGAUUCAGUCGUGUACACAACGUUCUGGCUUGAGGAGGAACAGGGGGUCCUUUAUGUUGGAGCAAGAGAGGCCAUCUUUGCUCUCAAUAUGAAUGACAUCACUGACAAGUCCAUGAAAACGGUGCCGUGGCAAACCGUACCUGACAAAAGAGCGAUUUGUCUAAAUAAGCGGAGGAACAACGAGAUUGACUGUUAUAACUACAUUCGUUUUCUGCAAAGAUUCAAUGGAACACACUUACUCACCUGUGGCACCUAUGCAUUUUAUCCUCAAUGUGCCUACAUUGAGGUUAAAAGCUUCACCCUAUCGGCUUCCUUUGAGGGAAAAGAGAGAUGUCCUUACGACCCCGCUGUUGGAUACACAGGCCUCAUCGUUGACAGUAAAAUCUACACUGCCACGCUCUACGGGUUCCAAAGCAAACAGCCGGAUAUCAAACGGAACUUCCAGGACCGUUCGUUCAGGAUGGACGACUCCGUUUCUAACUUGUUGAAUGAGCCAGACUUCAUCGACUCAGUGUUACUGAGGGAGAGUGUCAACAGCUCUGUGGGUGACGACGACAAGAUUUACCUGUUCUUCACGGAGAAGCUGGGGGAAGAGAAUGCAUUUAAUGGAAAGCCACUGGUGACCAGGGUGGCCCGGAUUUGCAAGAGUGACGAGGGGGGAAUGAGAACUCUCCAGAGGAAGUGGACGUCUUUUCUAAAGACCCGGCUUGUGUGUUCCAUCCCAGAGUACGGCUUCCAUUUCAACAUCUUGAAGAGUAUGUACGUGUUGAACCAGGAGCACUGGCAGGACGCCGUGUUUUAUGGUGUGUUUGUAUCCCAGUGGCAAAACAUAGAAAUAUCCGCCAUCUGUCAGUACACCUCUGCGGACAUCCGGAAGGCAUUCGAAGGGCCGUACAAGGAAGAUCAGAGAUCUCCACAGAGGUGGUCAAAAUACACGAACACACUCCCAGAGCCACGCCCAGGAUCGUGCAUCACAGAUGAAUUUCGGGAAGCCGGAAUCAUGACGUCACGUGAUCUGCCGGACCCCGUACUGGACUUCGUGAAAAGGCAUCCACUGAUGGAUGAAGAGGUCAGACCUGUGGGAGGCCGCCCACUCUUCACUAAGAAGCAAGUGAACUACACAAAGAUCGUAGUGGACACGGUCACAGCACUGGAUGGUGAACAGUACAACGUCAUGUUCAUUGGCACAGAUAACGGCUGGAUCCACAAAGUGGUGAAUUCUGGGGCCAGCACACACAUCGUUGAGGAGAUCCGGCUGUACAAGGACCUACAGCCUGUGGAAAGCCUGGUGUUAGCCAGAACCCAGGGGACCCUGUUCGUUGGAUCGCAGAGUGGGGUGACUCAGCUCCCCGUGUCCAAUUGUCACAUCUACAAAAACUGUUGGGAUUGUGUCCUGGCUCGAGAUCCUUACUGCGGUUGGGAUCACAGUGUUUGCCAGGAUAUUCGAACGCAGAAGAACAGAACGAAUCUGAUUCAAGACAUUGCGAACGGGAACAGAAGCUGUUUGGACAGCAACCCAAAUGUUACAGUCAGAAGAGUCCAGCUGGGAUCGGACGUGCUUCUGCAGUGCCCACUUACUUCGAACAUAGCCACAGUGCAAUGGAAAGUCAACGAGGAAGAAAUGGCCAGAGGUGAUGGGACACAGUACCGGCAAGGAGACAGCUUGCUGGUGUUGAGGAAUGUGCAGGCUGAUAGCAGUGGAACAUACAGCUGUUUUGCCCAGGAAAAUGGGGUGAGCCGUGCAGUGGCCUCGUACAACGUCAACGUGACAGAUGACUCAUCACGUUCCACGCACCUUUUGCCUCAGCACCAGUUGUCCAGGGGCCGGGAGUUCAUGUAUCUGAUCCUCGUCACCGUGCUGGGUGCCCUCUCCUUGGUCCUGAGCACUCUGUCCAUCUACCUUGUCUGCUCGCCCACCAAGCGGGGCAACUAUGAUGUGCACCUGCCCCAGACGUCACUGGUGGAGCUGCAGAACAUCUCGGGCAGCUGCCCGGGCAAGGCCGAGGAGGGCGAGGAGCGGCGGUACUCCGGCGAGCGCUUCCUGAAGAUCAUCCCCGGCGAGGGAGCCACAGCCGGCAACCACCGCGCCCAGGCCGCCGAGCUGCUGCCCCCUCCUCCGCCUCCGCCGCCCCUCCCGCUCACCGCCGACUCGGCAGGCUCCACCCCCAACGGGCUGCCCGGCCUGCCCCACGUGCUGCGCAAGAUGAACGGCAACAGCUACGUGCUGCUGCGGCAGGCCAGCGAGCAAGAGGCCACCUCGCCGCACUACCACUCGUUCACGGAGGAGCUGAGCAAGAUGCUGGAGAAGCGGAAGCACGCCCAGCUGCUGGAGAAGCUGGAUGAGAGCUCGGUGUGAGAACAGGGCUGGAGGAGGUGCCGCUGACCUCCCGGACUCCGAAUGACCUACCUCAUUCAGUAUUCAAGGAAGCACCCAUUAUGUGUUCCACCCCUACCCUUCCAGACUUGUACCUUUCAAAAAUCCUGUAAAUACGAUUUUGUUUAGUUAAAGAGAUUUUAUAUGGAAUCUUUGUAAGGACAGAAGGAGACUGAAGUGAGACAUUGCUUGCAGCCCCAACUCUGCCCCAAGCAUAGAGGUUGACUGGCUUGCUCCCAUUCCUAUGGGGAGAAAACUCUCUUAAGAGGCAGUUUGCUACAAGUGGGCAGGACAAUCACUGAGCACUGUUUUCCCCAGUCUGGACUCGGUCACACUGGUGAAUAUACUGAAUGUCACAUUCCAGAUCGCACCAACACCUGAGUCAUCCUAAAGAGCGCAGCAGCACGAUGGUUGUCCAUCGUAUCCGAUGAUGACAAAGAAACCUGGCGGGAGAGCUUUCAAAGUGGAAAAGCCAUUGCACUGGGACCGUUCCACUCUGUUGACCUCGGAGGUCCGGGGCCAGUAGUACGAGUAGUUGUCUCAAACCGGGGUCUUUCUUGGUUGAGCUGGAUAACCAUGAUCUCUCUGCCUUUGCUCUCCAAAAGACUUUGCAAACCGCCCUCUCAGCUGUUGGAUUUUACUGUUGAUCUCAUCCACCCAGACUGCUGGAGCUGGCUUCACGUGCUAGGGCACGCGAGUCUCUGUUUCACUGGGUAUGGAGUCUGCUGGACACCUGGUUUAGCUUGCCUGUCGAAGCGGUGUACUGGGGCCGCUGUCAUGUGGCAGGUGAGAACUGAAUGUCCGGUGGGGCCCAAAGGUGCACGUACUGUAUGUCUUCCAAAGUGCUUUGCAGACAGUGAAGCCUUUCUGAACUAUGUUACUGGAGGAAAUACAGGAGGAAAUUUACUCACAAACAACAAUGACCAAACCAACAUUUACAGUGAAGUUGUUUAACAAUAUUAGGGCUCAGGAGAGUGGGAGGUGGAUAGACCACUUGAUCCCUCUAGCCUAUCCUGCCUGAUUCAAUAUAACCUAGUGUGGACCUCACCUUCUCUUCGGUACUGGGGCUCAAUUUCCUGAUCUCUUAAAAAAUAUUUACUUCUUUUUUAAAUACCAGCAAUGUUCCAGACUCCAAAGCCAUUUCGCUUUGAGAAUUUCAUCACCCAAUACGGUAUGAAGAGCUUAUGUACCUCAGAAUUAAGUUCCCCUCUAGAACCUCUCUAUACAAGGCUCCAGAAGCCCCCUCCCCAGCCCACCUCCCAGUCAGUAAGGCCUUGAUGCCCCCUGUACCCUUUUUAAACCAAUACUCAACCAGUUCUCCUCCACUAGCCCUCCUCCACUUGGAGGAACUUUUUUAUAACCUCAACAGCUGCUCUGACAAUUCCUCUCACUUUCUGCAGCUUCUGCUGGGCUGAUUGUUUGUGGGGACGUCAUCAUAGGGACAUGCAGUCCAUAAACUGGCCGUGCAGCCCACUGAGUCGAUGCUGAUCAUCAGGACCCCAAAUUUAUUAAUGCUCCUUACUCUCCAUACAGAAUUCAGAAUCACCGACACACACUCAUUGGCCACUUUAUUAAGUACACCUGUACAUUUAUGUUACAGAUUCAGCAACAAUAAAUAUAUAAGUGAGGCAGGGUUUUUUUAUAACAAAUAAAACAUUUAUUAAACACUGAAAAACAAACCCCCAAAAGUAAACAAACGACUAAUGUAACCGGAAAUCAGCUGCUGUGCGGCAGCUUAAACAGUUCUUAAAGCGAUGUUGCAAAAACAGUUCUUCAAAGUAUUACUGCAAAAGUUCAAAAUGCUUGCAGUCCAUUAAAGGAGAGACUUUUUAGACGAUUUAAAUUCUCUUUCACGUCAUGUUGUUGAGGUUCCCAGUCGAACUAUACUUGUCCGGGAGAAUUUACGAAGAUGAAAAUGAAACGGCUUAAAGGCACUGACCUUUCCUUGACGAAACUGUGCACCCAACCCUUUCUGCUAUUAUUCGCAGGGGUUACCACGAGCACAGCCAACAAAUUCCUUCCAAAUGAGGAUCAAACAAGGUCAAACCUAUUUCACCGUCAAAAUCGAAUUUCCUCAAUCUUUUAACUCCUGAACUCUGAUCUUCACUCUCCACCGAUUUUUAACUGGCAGUAUUAUAAAGAAACUGCCGGCAAUGACCUUUUAAACUUUAGGCAUUAAAUAAAACUCCACCUUUCAACCAAACUGCGUCAUAAUAUUGGACCACGCAGUGGCAUGGAGUCAAAAUGGCAAAUUCAGCCACAAACUGCCCCUCCUCACAAGGAGGGGUCCUCCUUUUGUACCCUGUGAAAAAAAACUGUCACAUGACCUCUACUGGUGGGAAAAUGACGUCACUCCACCAUCACAAGACCACUACCUUAAGUCCAGUAUAGCUUCAACACCACUGUAACGUGACAAGUACAAGAUACCCACAGGUGUGAAGUGGAGCCUAACAUUGAGCGAGGAAAGAAUCCAGUGUUUGAAACGGCAUCGAUUCUUCUGUCUGGCUGAAUCCAUUGGCGUGGAGCUGGACUCUGUGACCCCUUGGGUGGCUGAUGGCUUUGUCAUGGCUGGUAAUUCAAGCAGGUCCCGAGCGACUGAUGCUAGAACGUCUUGGGACUCCGAUUCAGGACUGGUCCUAUCUGCUGUGUUUGCACGUCUAUACAAAUGAGGUCCCAGCAGCGGCGGCCUGGGAGUGUGAGCCAGCUGCGGCUGGAUUCCAAUUCAAGAACAAGUGAAUAUCAGCAGAACACAACCUCCUCUCCACUGCGUGGCAUAUUUCUUCAUUCAAUAAGACGAUAAGGCACGGGAGCAGAAUGAGGCCAUUUGGCCCAUUGGAUCUGCUCUGUCAUUCUAUCAUGGCUGAUUCUUUAUCCCCCUGAACCCUAUUCCCUUGCCUUCUUCAUGUAACCUAUCAAUCUCUGCUUUAAAUAUACCAAUUGACCUGACUUCCACAACCAUCUGUUACAAUGAAUUCCACAAACUCACAACCUUUUGGCCAAAAAAAUUCCUCAUCAUCCCUGUUCGAAAGGGGCGUCCUUCCAUUCUGAGUCUGUGCCCUCUGGUCCUAGGCUCUCCCUGUAUGGGAAAUAUCCUCUCUACAUACACUCUUUUUUGGCCUUUCAAUAUUUGAUAGGUUUCAAUGAGAUUAAUUCAUUGUGUUCGUUGAAAUUUAGAUACAUACACCUGUGUUGAUGGUUUCUCCCAUCCAGUAUCUACAAUGAAAAGCCUGAAUCUUUUAAUUGAAGGAUUCGUAAAGGCCAACAUUUAGUCUGGUAAUCUUUUGAGUUAUAAGUGUACUUUGAACACAUGAGAGUUAUUUAGAGAAAUGAAUUCAACAGCUGUGAGGCGAAGUUGCAGCUCAAUAAAACCUGGUUAGACUGCAUGUGGAAUAUUGUGUUUAAUUCUGGUCGCCUCAUUAUGAGAAGGUCCUGCCCACAGAUCACUGUGAAGUAGUUAAAAGCAAUGGAAGCUAUCGUUUCAGUCCCAGGCACCUCAUUAUAGGAAGGAUGUGGAAGCUUUAGAGAGGGUGCAGAGGAGACUUACCAGGAUGCUGCCUGGAUUUGAGAGCAUGUCUUACGAGGAUAGGCUGAGUGGUUUUGUCUUUGGAGAGAAUGAGAAUGAGGUGUAACUUGACAGAAGUGUACAAGACGAUAAGAGGCAUAGAUCGAAUGGAUAGUCAGAGACUUUUUCCCAGGGUGGAAAAGGCUAAUACAAUCAUUUUAAGGUGAAUGGAAGAAGUAUAGGGGGCGAUGUUGGGGGAAAGUUUUCUUACACAGAGAAUGGUGGAUGUGUUGAACACCCUGCCAGGGUGGCUGGUGGUACAGGCAGAUACAUUAGGGACAUUUACAAACUCUUAGAUACAUGGAUGAUCAAAAAAAAAUGGGGGCUAUAUAGGAGGGAAGGGUUAGAUUAACCUUAGAGUAACUUAAAAAGUCAACACAACAUAGUGGGCAAGGGGCCGGCACUGGCUGCAAUCUUCAAUAUGUUUCUGAACCUAGGGCCCAAGCCCAUAUCUCCCUGACAGUGGCUGCUCAGGUGGAUGGGUGUGUGGCAUGCUUGGUUCCAUUAGCCCAGCAGGAGUUAGGAGGUUAUGUUUCAACUUUAUAAAACACUGGUUAGGCCACACCUGGGAUGCUGCAUUUAGUUCUGGCCGACCCAUCAUCAGAAGGAUGUACAGGCUUUAGAUAGGGGUCAGGAGAAGUUUACCGGGAUGCUUUCUGGAUCAGAGAGGAGAGGUUGGACUCACAGAUGUUGUUUCCCCUGGAGCAGUGGAGGAUGUGGGGACACCUGAUAGGAACUUAUAACAUUAUCAGAGCAUAGGUAGAGUAAACAGCGGGGAUCUGUUUAAUGUUUAAUACUCAGGAAUAUGCUUAUAAGGUGAGAGGGGAAAGUUCAAAGGAGAUGUGUGGGGCAAAUGAUACUGUAUUUGUAUAAGCAGAGGGGGGUGGGUGGCUGGAUUGUGCUGCCAGGGGUGGUGGUUGGGGCAAACGUGGAAGAAGUAUUUAGAUAGGCCCAUGAAUAUGGAGAAAGUGGAAGCAGAAGGGAUGGGUUUAAUUAGGCGAUUUAAUUAGUGUGGCACAGUGUGGUGGGCAGCAGGAUCUGUUCAUGUGCUGAGCUAUUCUAUGUCGAUGGGCUUCUUUAAGAGUCUGCCCAGACCUUCCCCCACCCAUAGAACCAUAGAACAUUACAGCACAGAAACAGGCCUUUUGGCCCUUCUUGGCUGUGCCGAACCAUUUUUCUGCCUAGUCCCACUGACCUGCACCUGGACCAUAUCCCUUCAUACACCUCUCGCCCAUGUACCUGUCCCAAGUUUUUCUUAAAUGUUAAAAGUGAGCCCACACUUACCACUUCAUCUGGCAGCUUAUUCCACACUCCCACCACUCUCUGUGUGAAGAAGCCCCCCCCCCAACGUUCCCUUUAAACUUUCCCCCUUCACCCUUAAGCCAUGUCCUCUGGGUUUUUUUUCUCCCCUAACCCCAGUGGAAAAAGUCUGCUUGAAUUCACUCUAUCUAUACCCAUCAUAAUUUUAUAUACCUCUAUCAAAUCUCCCCUCAUUCUUCUACGCUCCAGGGAAUAAAGUCCUAACCUUUCUCUGUAACUCAGUUUCUCAAGUCCUGGCAACAUCCUUGUAAACCUUCUCUGCACUCUUUCAACCUUAUUAAUAUCCUUCCUGUAAUUCGAUGACCAAAACUGCACACAAUACUCCAAAUUCGGCCUCACCAAUGCCUUAUACAACCUCACCAUAACAUUCCAACUCUUAUACUCAAUACUUUGAUUUAUAAAGGCCAAUGUACCAAAAGCCCUCUUUACAACCCUAUCUACCUGUGAUGCCACUUUUAGGGAAUUUUGUUUAUGCUCUGGCUGAACUCAUGUGCACAGUUGAGGUUUCUUGAAGAUCAUGGAGGUUGCAUAGGACGUCCAUCAGAAUUAUAGAUAGCUUCACUCUGUUAGUCCCUCAGAGUUGUGUACACCUUCACUCUGUUAGUCCCUCAGAGUCAUGGAUACAUUCACUCUGUGUUAGUCCCUCAGAGUUGUGUAUACCUUCACUCUGUUAGUCCCUCAGAGUCAUGGAUACAUUCACUCUGUUAGUCCCUCAGAGUCAUGGAUACAUUCACUCUGUGUUAGUCUCUCAGAGUUAUGGGCACCUUGGCUCUGUGCAUUCCCAGAUAAGGGAACAUCGCGCAGAGUGUACUGAGCUGGGAUAGUGUGCCAGGUUAGGGUAGGGGCACACACAUUCCACCAUUAAACUGAUAAGGCAGCUUUGUGAAUAAGGCAACCAGGAUUAUUGAUCCUGGAUUACUAAGCACCCAGGAUCUGAAUCAGAUUUACUAUCACUGACAAAUGGCAUGAAAUUUGGUGUUUUUGUGGCAACAGUUCAGUACAAAACAUAAAAUAAAUCAGUUCAAAUUACAGUAGAAAUGUAUUUCCGGGGUUCAAGGUCUAUUCAGAAAUCUAAUGGUGGAAGGGAAGAAGCUGUUUUUAAAAUGUUGAGUGCGUGUCUCCAGGCUCCUGUACCUCCUCCCUGAUGGUAGUAAUGAGAAGAGGGCUUGUCCUGGGUGGGGAGGGUCCUACACAAUGGAUCCCACCUUUCUGAGGCUCUAUCUUUUGAAGAUGCCUUCGACAGAGAGGAGGCUGGUGCCAAAGAUGAAGCUGGAUGAAUUUCCACCUUUAUCUGAUCCGGUGCCGGGGCCCCUCCAUCCCAGAUGGUGGUGUAACCAGUUGGAAUGCUCUCCGGGGUUACGUCUACAGAGUCUUUGGUGACAAAAUUAAUGAAGUACAGCACUGCAUUGCCUUCUUCCAUCUGCACAAACCUUCUACCCUCCGGAUUCCACUACUUACCUAGACACCAGAAGCAACCCACCAGCCCUCAUCUCUUUGGUGCAUGGCUGGAGACUCGUGCAGUCGCAAGGAAAGCUUGUAAACUCCGCACGGGGAGCACCCGAGCUCAGGGUCGUUGGAGUUGUGAGACAGCAUCUCUAUCUUCUGUACCACUGUGCCUCCUGGACAGAGAUAAGUUCUCUCUUUCAUGGCCUGGAACAGAGAAGUUUUAUUAUUGUAGAACUCCAAAAUAAUUCACAAACUUCAUUCAAGAAUCCUCCAUCUGCUCCCCAUCUGGCCCCGAUCAACAUCUCAUGGUAGGUGCUUGGACCUUGUGAACUGGCCCAGUAGGCAUCUAAACGUUUGGAAGUGACUGGCAGUGUUUAUGACCUUGCCAGAGUCCCCCAUCCCCAGUACCACUGAUAAAGAUUAACCUUGAACUUAGCCUAGUACAGCAAGUCCCUUCAGCCCAUGAUGUCUGUGCUAUACUAAUGAAGCUAAUGACACCAGAUCCGUUUUGUUUGCAAAUGGUCCAUUCUUGUGCACCUUUCUAAAACCUUCCUGAGCACCUCUAUCUGCUUUGUUUUUAAAGGGUACAAUUACGUUAAAACAGUGCAAACAGGAAGGUGAAGUGAUGUUUGGGUCAAGGGUUGGUUCUUGUAAAAGCUCAGUAGGUUGGCUGAUUGUACUGGGCAUGCAACAGGGGCACUUUCCUUUUGAAAGCUGCCCCCCCCCCAACCCCACCGUUGAUAUCACUGUUCUGGUUGCCCUCUUGGGUGGAGCGGGCAGUGAGGGGAUUCUGCGCCCCGGUGCGCACACAGUCCUAAUGGAGUUUUGACAGAGCCUGCUCUCAAAGGCCUUCUCACUGCAUCCCCAAGGUCUGUGAUCAAAGCCAUUUCAAAACAGAACAUUUAAACUAUUUAAGAUUAUUAGAGAAAUAUUUCUUUGUUCGAAUUCAAUUAAACUGACAAAAAUACUUUCAAUUUAAUUUACAUUAGUUCAAUCUGAAGUUAAAAAACACUAAACGAAGGUAGAACAUGGAAUGGUACAGCACAGGAAAAGGCCCCGGCCCAUAAUCUUGAAUUGAACCAGCUAAAAAGUAAAUUUUAAAAGAAAAAAACUAAUCCCUGCUAUCUACACCAUGUCCAUCUCCGUCCAUCUUCCUGACAUCCAUAUGCCUAUCUAAAUGUCUCUUAAAACCCUCUAUAGCAUUUGCCUCUGCCACUGUACCAGGCAGUGCAUUCCAGGAUCCACGACCCUCUGUGUAAAAAAAAUACAGCUCACAUCCCCUUUGAACCGACCCCUUCUCACCUUCAGUGCAUGCCCUCUGGUAUUAGACAUUUAAACCUGGAAACAUUCUCUCUGAACACUCUAUCUGUGCUUCUCAUAAUUUUAUGAACCUCUAUCAGAUCCCCCCUCAGCCUCUGGCGCUCCAGAGAAAACAGCCCAAGUUUAUCUAGCUCUAAACCAGGCAGCAUCCUGGCAGAACUCUUCUGCACCCUCUCUAAAGCCUCAACAUCCUUCCUAUAGUGGGGCGACCAGAAAUGUAUGUAAUACUGCAGAUGAGCCAAACCAGAGUUUUAUAAAGUUGCAAUACGGCCUCUUGACUUUUGAACUCAAUGCCCCGACUAAUAAAAGCAAGCUUUCCGUAAGCCUUCCUAACCACUUGAUCAACCUGUGUAGCCACUUUCAUGGAACUGGGAACUUGGACCCCAAGAUCUCUCUGCCCAGCAACAACUAUCUCCUUGCACUUACCCUUCCAAGGUGCACACUUCAUAUCUAUCUAGGCUAAACGCCAUCUGCCACUUCUCUGCCCAUAUCUGCAACUGAUCCACAAUGCACCGUAUUCUUUGCCAGUCUUCUACACUAUCCACAACUCCACCAAUCUUGGUAUCAUCCUCAAAUUUACUAACCCACCCCUCCAUGUUUUCAUCCAGGUCAUUUAUAUACAUCACAAACAACGGGGGUCCCAGCCCUGUGGAACUCCACUAAUUUCAGACCUCCAGUUUGAAUAAGUCUCUUCAACCACUCCCCUCUGUCUUUUGUGUGCAAGCCAGUUCUAAAUCCAAAUAGCCAAUUCUCCGUGAACCCCACACAUCGUAAUCUCCUGGAUUAGCCUCCAUGACAGACCUUGUUAUAUGCCUUACUAAAAUCCAUGUAGACAACAUCCACUACCCUACCCUCAUCAAUCCUCUCUCAUCUCCUUGUCAAAGUUGAUGGGCUUCAGGGGCAGGGUCAAUUGCAGGGCCCACCUUGGUAAUGAUUUAUCUUGCUAAUGAACCAUGAUAUAAACAAGGACACACUAGAUGUGGCUGAUGUGAAUGUGAGGGGCCAGGUACGAAGUAUAUCCUGCUAUCCCCUGCUCAGUAAAGUAUGGAACUCACCUGGACACAAUACUUCCUUGCAAUGGCAUCCAUAAUGCACCUGUAUGUGCGUUGGUCCACGACAUCUCAAUCGAGGUUAGGGUAGAGUGGCACAGGACCUUACUGAGUUUGUCUCAGAAUUUCCAAUCCACUCGUUUACCGCUGAUUUAACAUAAUAAAGCAUAAAGCAUUCAACAGGCCUGGCUGUUGAACAGAGCAGUGCUAGCGUUUGUAGGAAGGCUUCACACAUUAGCACCUCUGUGCUUUAUCAGGCCCCUGGAGAAGAUGCAGGGCCCAUUUCAUAGAGUCACUCAGUUGUACAGCACAGCAUCUGGGCAUCCCAACCACUGUAUGGUAGCCCCACUUGGCCCAGUCGAGGGUGGAGCAGUAGCAUCUUAAUUAUCACGAGGUUUUACAGUGCCAGUUGUAAGUUCGGUACUCAGUGGCUACCACCGUGUAAGGAUGUUCACCCCGUUACCAUGUGCAUUUCCUCUGGCUGAUUCCUCCCAAAUUCCCAAGAUGUGCAGGUUAGGGUUGGCAAGUUCUGGGUUUGGUAUAUUGACACUGGAAGUGCAGUGAUACCUGUGGGCAGGACCCUCGCUGAUUUGAUUUGACACAAACAAUCAUUUCACUGUAUAUACCACUGCAUGUGUGACAAAUAAAGCUAUUUCUCUCUUUACCUCAGGUGCAGAGAGUACACUAAGCAAGUUAACCUGAGCUGGCUGAAGUACUAAACUGGAUUAACCCAACCCUCAAUGAUUUAUUGGAACGCACAGUAGAGCUGGAGCCAACACACAUUAUCAGGCCCCAUCAGACUCAAGUUAGGUCACCAUUUUUACUCAGAAGGUUUGUCAAACAUCUUUGCUCCAUCUGCAACAAAUAGAAUUACCGAUGGCCAACUAUUUUAAUUCCACUGCCCAGUCCCAUUCUGACAUGUUUGUCCAUGGCCAUUCUCUACUGCCCUCUCUCAGUUUGGAGGAGCAACACCUCAUAUUCCAUCAGGGUAGCCCCCAACCUGACAGCGUGAACAUUGAUUUCUCGAACUUCCAGUAAUUUCUCCACCCUUUCCUCACCUUUCUAUUUCCAUUCUGCCCUCUGGCUUCCCAUUUACCCCCUUCUCUUCUUCUUGCCUGCCCAUUACCUUCCUUCUUCCCUUUCACCCAAGAUCCAUUCUCCUCUCCUACGAGAUUCCUUCUUCUUCAGCCCUUUAUUUUUCUACCUCUCACCUCCCAACUUCUCACUUCAUCCACCCCACCAAUCUACCUUCCCCCCUCACCUUGCUUCACCCAUCACCUUCUAGUUUGUACUCCUUUCCCCCCCAACUUCUUAUUAUGACUUCCUCCCCCUCCCUCUCCAAUCCUGAUGAAGGGUCCCGGCCUGAAAUGUUGACUAUUUAUUCCUUCCAUAGAUGCUGCCUGAUCCACUGAGUUCCUCCAGCAUUGUGUGUGUGUUGUUCUCGAUUUCCAGCAUCUACAGAAUCUCUUGUGUUUAUUACUCGGAAGUAUGUACGUAAUUAUUUGGAUCGUGUUAUUGUAAUGCCUUUGGCUCCAGUUCUGACUCCAAGAUGUUGCUCCCUGGCUACACCUCAGCAGUUUGAUCUUGCUCAGUAUCGAACGGUCUGAUUUCUUACCAUUCUUACAGGAAUACAUUGCAUGCCAGCCUGCCAAGCAAAAUAUAUAAUCAUAUUGGACUUGAGUAGCCUUUCUCUUGUGUUUAUCGGUGUUGUGCAGAGACCUAGCCACGGCGUAAAUGGUGUUCACAGGCACCCUCCUGCUCUGAUCAAGCCUUCCUUUCAAUAGCAGCUCCAUGCCAUGCAUGACCCUCGGAGGGGUCUGGAGAUCUCCUUGCUUGAUGUCAUACCCUUCUGCACUGACUUCUGGCAUGGUGCCACCGAGGUACAGCAGCUUGAAGCAAAGCCAUUCACCCAGUGCCAGCCUGUCACAUCAGCAGAAACGCAAACCCUUAUUGAUCACGCAGAGACCCGACCUGUGGUAUUUUCAUUUGAAGACUUUGGAUUUAAUUCCCUGCAACAGGGCAUGGACUGUCCUGGCUGCUGCUCAGAUAUAUUAAUGUAGAAACAUUUGCUAGUGAACUAUAUAUACAGUAUAUAUUUUCAUAAUAUUCAAUUGUGAAUUAUUGGUGGAAAAUCAAUAAAUGAAUAAGUUUCA